rnacentral:rRNA from 1 species
GACGAACGCUGGCGGCGUGGAUUAGGCAUGCAAGUCGAACGGUAUCAUCCUUUCGGGGGUGAGAGAGUGGCGAACUGGUGAGUGACACGUAGGUUAUCUACCCUCAAGACGGGGACAACCCAGGGAAACUUGGGCUAAUACCGGAUGUGAGCAACUUUUAGUUGUUUGAAAGGUGGCGUAAGCUGUCGCUUGGGGAUGAGCCUGCGUCCUAUUAGUUAGUUGGUGAGGUAACGGCUCACCUAGGCAAUGAUAGGUAGGCGGCCUUAACGGGUGGUCGCCCACACUGGGAUUGAGAUACGGCCCAGACUCCUACGGGAGGCAGCAGUCGAGAAUAGUCUACAAUGGUCGGAAGACUGAUAGUGCGACGCCGCGUGAACGAUGAAUCCCUUCGGGGUGUAAAGUUCUUUUAUAUGUGAGCAGUGCUUCUUAUAUUAACAGUAUGGGGAGAGAGAUAUUAGCAUAUGAAUAAGCAACGGCUAACUCCGUGCCAGCAGCCGCGGUAA